rnacentral:rRNA from 1 species
UACGUAGGGGCCGAGCGUUGUCCGGAGUUAUUGGGCGUAAAGCGCGCGCAGGCGGCUUGGCGCGCCCGACGUGAAAGCCCCCGGCUUAACCGGGGAGAGUCGUCGGGGACGGCCGGGCUUGAGGGCGGGAGAGGGUGGUGGAAUUCCCGGUGUAGUGGUGAAAUGCGUAGAGAUCGGGAGGAACACCUGUGGCGAAGGCGGCCACCUGGGCCGACCCUGACGCUGAGGCGCGAAAGCCAGGGGAGCAAACGGG